AGAGAUUGAACUGAAGAGUUUGAUCCUGGCUCAGAUUGAACGCUGGCGGAAUGCUUUACACAUGCAAGUCGAACGGCAGCACGGGUGCUUGCACCUGGUGGCGAGUGGCGAACGGGUGAGUAAUGCGUCGGAACGUACCGAGUAAUGGGGGAUAACGCAGCGAAAGUUGUGCUAAUACCGCAUACGCCCUAUGGGGGAAAGCAGGGGAUCGCAAGACCUUGCGUUAUUCGAGCGGCCGACGUCUGAUUAGCUAGUUGGUGGGGUAAAGGCCUACCAAGGCGACGAUCAGUA
rnacentral:rRNA from 1 species